rnacentral:rRNA from 1 species
AUUGAACGCUGGCGGCAUGCCUUACACAUGCAAGUCGAACGGUAACGGGCCUUCGGGUGCCGACGAGUGGCGAACGGGUGAGUAAUGUAUCGGAACGUGCCCAGUAGUGGGGGAUAGCCCGGCGAAAGCCGGAUUAAUACCGCAUACGACCUACGGGUGAAAGGGGGGGAUCGCAAGACCUCUCGCUAUUGGAGCGGCCGAUAUCAGAUUAGGUAGUUGGUGGGGUAAAGGCCUACCAAGCCUGCGAUCUGUAGUUGGUCUGAGAGGACGACCAGCCACACUGGGACUGAGACACGGCCCAGAAUCCUACGGGAGGCAGCAGUGGGGAAUUUUGGACAAUGGGCGCAAGCCUGAUCCAGCAAUGCCGCGUGCAGGAAGAAGGCCUUCGGGUUGUAAACUGCUUUUGUCAGGGAAGAAAUCCUCUGGGUUAAUACCUCGGGGGGAUGACGGUACCUGAAGAAUAAGCACCGGCUAACUACGUGCCAGCCGCCGCGGUAAGAC